UACGAAGGGGGCUAGCGUUGUUCGGAAUUACUGGGCGUAAAGCGCACGUAGGCGGACUAUUAAGUCAGGGGUGAAAUCCUGGAGCUCAACUCCAGAACUGCCUUUGAUACUGGCGAUCUCGAGUCCGGGAGAGGUGAGUGGAACUGCGAGUGUAGAGGUGAAAUUCGUAGAUAUUCGCAAGAACACCAGUGGCGAAGGCGGCUCACUGGCCCGGUACUGACGCUGAGGUGCGAAAGCGUGGGGAGCAAACAGGG
rnacentral:rRNA from 1 species